AGCUGUCACGCGGAUGAAAUUUUAUGAACAAAUUAAGUUUUGUACAUGCCUUUUUGACAAUUAUAUUCAAAUACUUGAUCUAAUCAACUUUGAGAUGGAGAAACUAACUUUCUUCCAUGAUAAAAAAAAGCGUGAAAAAAAUCCAUCAGUAAGAACCAUUCUGAUUCUGAAAAGGUCACCCUCAAUCAAACAGAUACACCAGCUAAUUAAAAACAACAAUGUUGCAUGUGAUUGAAAC
rnacentral:lncRNA from 1 species